rnacentral:rRNA from 1 species
GACGAACGCUGGCGGCGUGCUUAACACAUGCAAGUCGAACGGAAAGGCCCUGCUUUUGUGGGGUGCUCGAGUGGCGAACGGGUGAGUAACACGUGAGUAACCUGCCCUUGACUUUGGGAUAACUUCAGGAAACUGGGGCUAAUACCGGAUAGGAGCUCCUGCUGCAUGGUGGGGGUUGGAAAGUUUCGGCGGUUGGGGAUGGACUCGCGGCUUAUCAGCUUGUUGGUGGGGUAGUGGCUUACCAAGGCUUUGACGGGUAGCCGGCCUGAGAGGGUGACCGGGCACAUUGGGACUGAGAUACGGCGCAGACUCGUACGGGAGGCAGCAGUGGGGAAUAUGGCACAAUGGGCGGAAGCCUGAUGCAGCAACGCCGCGUGCGGGAUGACGGCCUUCGGGUUGUAAACCGCUUUCGCCUGUGACGAAGCGUGAGUGACGGUAAUGGGUGAAGAAGCACCGGCUAACUACGUG